UGGGGAAUAUUGCACAAUGGGCGCAAGCCUGAUGCAGCGACGCCGCGUGGGGGAUGACGGCCUUCGGGUUGUAAACUCCUUUCGCUAGGGACGAAGCUUUUUGUGACGGUACCUAGAUAAGAAGCACCGGCUAACUACGUGCCAGCAGCCGCGGUAAUACGUAGGGUGCGAGCGUUGUCCGGAAUUACUGGGCGUAAAGGGCUCGUAGGUGGUUUGUCGCGUCGUCUGUGAAAUUCCGGGGCUUAACUCCGGGCGUGCAGGCGAUACGGGCAUAACUUGAGUACUGUAGGGGUAACUGGAAUUCCUGGUGUAGCGGUGAAAUGCGCAGAUAUCAGGAGGAAAACCGAUGGCGAAGGCAGGUUACUGGGCAGUUACUGAAGCUGAGGAGCGAAAGCAUGGGUAGCGAACAGG
rnacentral:rRNA from 1 species